GAUGAACGCUGGCGGCGUGCCUAAUACAUGCAAGUCGAGCGAACAGAUAAGGAGCUUGCUCCUUUGACGUUAGCGGCGGACGGGUGAGUAACACGUGGGUAACCUACCUAUAAGACUGGGAUAACUUCGGGAAACCGGAGCUAAUACCGGAUAAUAUUUCGAACCGCAUGGUUCGAUAGUGGAAGAUGGUUUUGCUAUCACUUAUAGAUGGACCCGCGCCGUAUUAGCUAGUUGGUAAGGUAACGGCUUACCAAGGCGACGAUACGUAGCCGACCUGAGAGGGUGAUCGGCCACACUGGAACUGAGACACGGUCCAGACUCCUACGGGAGGCAGCAGUAGGGAGUCUUCCGCAAUGGGCGAAAGCCUGACGGAGCAACGCCGCGUGAGUGAUGAAGGUCUUCGGAUCGUAAAACUCUGUUAUUAGGGAAGAACAUACGUGUAAGUAACUGUGCACGUCUUGACGGUACCUAAUCAGAAAGCCACGGCUAACUACGUG
rnacentral:rRNA from 1 species